rnacentral:rRNA from 1 species
ACGUUAACGAACGAGACCUUAACCUGCUAAAUAGCCCGUAUUGCUUUGGCAGUACGCUGGCUUCUUAGAGGGACUAUCGGCUCAAGCCGAUGGAAGUUUGAGGCAAUAACAGGUCUGUGAUGCCCUUAGAUGUUCUGGGCCGCACGCGCGCUACACUGAUCAAGUCAACGAGUUUACAACCUUGGCCGGAAGGUCUGGGUAAUCUUUUGAAACUUGAUCGUGCUGGGGAUAGUCCAUUGCAAUUAUUGGACUUCAACGAGGAAUUCCUAGUAAGCGUGAGUCAUCAGCUCGCGUUGAUUACGUCCCUGCCCUUUGUACACACCGCCCGUCGCUAAUACCGAUUGAAUGGAUA